rnacentral:rRNA from 1 species
GGCCAGACUCCUACGGGAGGCAGCAGUGGGAGAUAUUGCACAAUGGGGGAAACCCUGAUGCAGCGACGCCGCGUGGGCGAAGAAGUACUUCGGUAUGUAAAGCCCUAUCAGCAGGGAAGAAGAAAUGACGGUACCUGAGUAAGAAGCACCGGCUAAAUACGUGCCAGCAGCCGCGGUAAUACGUAUGGUGCAAGCGUUAUCCGGAUUUACUGGGUGUAAAGGGAGCGCAGGCGGCACGGCAAGCCUGAUGUGAAAGCCCGCGGCCCAACCGCGGGACUGCAUUGGGAACUACCGGGCUGGAGUGCCGGAGAGGUAGGCGGAAUUCCUAGUGUAGCGGUGAAAUGCGUAGAUAUUAGGAGGAACACCAGUGGCGAAGGCGGCCUACUGGACGGUGACUGACGCUGAGGCUCGAAAGCGUGGGGAGCAAACAGGAUUAGAUACCCUUGUA